UUAGCCUUACCGGUGGAUCACUCGGUUCGUGGAUCGAUGAAGAACGCAGCUAACUGCGAUAAUUUAUGUGAACUGCAGAAAUCUUGAGCAUAAAAGUUUUGAACGCAUGUUGCGGCAUUGGGGUCAAACCCUUUGGCACGUCUGGUUCAGGGUCAUU
rnacentral:rRNA from 1 species